AUUGAACGCUGGCGGCAUGCCUAACACAUGCAAGUCGAACGGCAGCACAGUAAAGAUUUCGGUCUUUAUGGGUGGCGAGUGGCGGACGGGUGAGUAAUGCGUAGGAAUCUGUCCUGGAGAGUAGGAUAACCCGAGGAAACUCGGGCUAAUACUGCAUGAUAUCGAGAGAUCAAAGGCAGGGGACCCUUCGGGGCCUUGCGCUCUAGGAUGAGCCUACGUCGGAUUAGCUAGUUGGUGGGGUAAAGGCCUACCAAGGCGACGAUCCGUAGCUGGUCUGAGAGGAUGACCAGCCACACUGGGACUGAGACACGGCCCAGACUCCUACGGGAGGCAGCAGUGGGGAAUCUUGGACAGUGGGGGAAACCCUGAUCCAGCGAUGCCGCGUGUGUGAAGAAGGCCUUCGGGUUGUAAAGCACUUUAGUUGGGGAAGAAAAGUAAUGAGUGAAUAACUGAUUGCUCUGACGGUACCCAAAGAAUAAGCACCGGCUAACUCUGUGCCAGCCGCCGCCGUAA
rnacentral:rRNA from 1 species